rnacentral:lncRNA from 1 species
AAGGAAGUACUUAUGGGAAAAAAAUGCCUUACAACUUAGAGGACAACAACUGCAAACUUUUGUCCUGACUGUACUUCCUGUACCAGGAAGACACCGACAAUAAAUUUGUUACUCAUCCUAGAUAUGUUGUAGAGUACAGGCAGAAAUGAGCCCUCAGUCCAGCGCAGCCCUGAAACUAUUUCGUCUUAUGUGCAAUGGAUGGGGAUGGCAUGAUUAAUACAACCAUACCUGUAUCUAGCAGCACACCAAAGCAGUUUACCACAGUAAAUUUGCAUAUUUGCAAUCCUACUGAUUUAAUGUCCUUGGGAGGAUGCUAAAAUAUCCAAACAAACAUUCCUCUACAAGUUCCACUGCUGAAAGCACAAGGUGCAAGCGGAGCACAGGGAUGAGAGGGGAAGAUGCAAUGGGCAGGAGCUGGAACUUGAAUUUGAGUGCACUGCAACAUCUCAUGCUUGCUGCCAGCCUACUAAGCUCAUGGGGUGGAUGGCUUGAGGUUGCCUCCAACCCUUCACCCAACCACCGCCCCACACCAGCAGCAUGUGUCAAGGACAGGGGGACGUCGCAAGCUGCAAACCGUCACGAGCUGUCAACAGCCUCAGCAAAUCUCACAGACAUCUGUGGCUUAUCAAGCCAGCAGCAUUUUUCCUACAUUAAUCUCCACUAGGCCUGCCCCAGCUUUCAUUUCAAAAGGCUUGGCAUGGUAUCUUCAAAAAAAAAAAAAAUUAAAAUAAUUUGCUCGAUUUCUUCACAUGCAGCUGGUUCGGAGGACCGCCUUUGAAAUCCGAGCACAUCGCAGAGAUGUCAAUAUGCUCCUUGCAGGCAGCUUGCAGCACAGGGGACAGCACUAAGGGCUGAAAAAGGCUUUUUGGGGCUGCCCUUGUGCAAGCGCUCUCCAGUAGCCGGCGGGAUGGGGGCUCACCCAGCGGCAGCACGCACGUGCCAGAUGCCCUCCUCCAGCUCCUAAAGCCCAGGGAGGAUGGUUACAACAGCUUCUUUCCAGUUGCCAUCAAGGCUGGCACACUCCUUCCCCAUUGCUUGCGUUGGGUGUGGUGCCCAGAGCAAGGUGUCAGCCUUUGCUGCUGCCACUAUACAAUGGAAGCCCAGGAAACCACUCCACCACCAUGCAUGUGCCCUCCCCAUGCAACCCCCCACCCCACUGGCCACCCCCUCCUCUCCAUGACCAUGCCCGUGCCAUGAUUCUCGUUGCCUGGCUGUGCCCUGCUGAUCCAGAAGCUCCCAAGGGCACAUCUUCCCAUCCUUGCUGUCCCAGAGAUGCUCCUGUUACCAUCGCACCAUGUUUUAAAAGGCAAAAGAAACCCAUCACACCACAUCUGCUCAACACCAAAAUUUGUCUUUGGCCAACAAAAGUGAGUUAUUAAAGGUUAAGCUCCUGUUAGGACCAGACAGCAACAACCUGGCCUAAUAAAACCCUAGAUUAUUUUUUUUUGAGCUUUGUG